AAGUGAGAGUGACGUCACUAUAACAUUAAAUCGACUAUUUCAACCGACAGCUUGAUCGAUAAUAUCUAGAUACAAAAAGAGGUUGCAGAACUAUUGAAAUGGUGAUACAGGGAGGGUCAAUUAACACUUCCUAGUUGCUAAUAAGAAGGAACACGGACCAAUUGUGGAUCUAAAUUCAAUAGGAGUGCACUUGUUCGGUAAUACAAAUAGUAGAUUUCUCCGCAGGUGUAAUGUACGUAAUAUACGAGUUUGUAUGCAAAUGCCUUUCGCGUGUGAAUAACUCUGUACAUGCAUCAUAGUCUCGACAAAUUUUUACGCGUUUGGGAUUACGCAUAUGUAUGUUAUGUGAAUAUGGCUGUAUUUCGAGCCUUAAUCAAUGUUAAUGUUAGUAUUGAAUUUGAUGGGUGAUAGCAGAGCGAUGAAAGCAAUUCACCGCAUUUAUCCUUAGCCGGUGGUUUCAGUGCUUUCCAAAAUGAUUGCUUGCUAGCGAAAUCAACCUAAUCGCAUGUCGUAUAUACAUGUAAUAGAUAUAAAGUGAUAAUGCAGAUGUAGAUAGCUACAGAAUACCUUACAAACGACUAAAGAUAGACUUUGUUGCAAAAUUAUAACACCUAUGUAAUAUUUGUUCUUAUUAGUAACCAGUAAGUAUUUCGAUUAAUCUUUCUUCUAUCAAACUGGUACUGUAAAACAAUUUUAUUUACAUAACGGUAACAAUUUGGAAGAUGAAAAAGAAAAUGGGUUCAACACGUGCUGCAAAAUUACAUGGCCGUUGCUUUUCCAAGGAUCAGUCUUUUAUAUAUUAUACAUACGUACGAAAAAUGGAGGUGAGGGUUUAUUGUACAAAAUUCUAUUUGAAGAUCACGUGUGGCUACUGUCAAAUUAUAUACAUAAUUAUUUUCAGUAUUCAUUGAUAUUUUAUCAUAGAAAGACUUACACCUUAAUAACGUUUACAAAUCGUACAAUUGCGCUCAGGCCUAACGAUGGCGGAUCAGAGAUGGCUAGGUCAAUAAGCAAAAUUGCCAUAGUUGGGCGGAAGAUUAUCUUUAAAAAAUAAAUGCCAUAAAUGGUUCAACACAAAAAUAAUAAAGA